GAUGAACGCUGGCGGCGUGCCUAAUACAUGCAAGUCGAGCGAACGGACGAGAAGCUUGCUUCUCUGAUGUUAGCGGCGGGCGGGUGAGUAACACGUGGAUAACCUACCUAUAAGACUGGGAUAACUUCGGGAAACCGGAGCUAAUACCGGGUAAUAUUUUGAACCGCAUGGUUCAAAAGUGAAAGACGGUCUUGCUGUCACUUAUAGAUGGAUCCGCGCUGCAUUAGCUAGUUGGUAAGGUAACGGCUUACCAAGGCAACGAUGCAUAGCCGACCUGAGAGGGUGAUCGGCCACACUGGAACUGAGACACGGUCCAGACUCCUACGGGAGGCAGCAGUAGGGAAUCUUCCGCAAUGGGCGAAAGCCUGACGGAGCAACGCCGCGUGAGUGAUGAAGGUCUUCGGAUCGUAAAACUCUGUUAUUAGGGAAGAACAUAUGUGUAAGUAACUGUGCACAUCUUGACGGUACCUAAUCAGAAAGCCACGGCUAACUACGUG
rnacentral:rRNA from 1 species